GCCUCGAUAGCUCAGUUGGUUAGAGCGUGGUGCUGAUAUUGCCAAGGUUACAGGUUUGAUCCCCGUAUGGGACA